AGCUGGAUGACAUCAUCUCAGUGCCACUGAGCACAGCAGCAACAGCACCUGGGAUGAGGCAGUGCUGAGGAGGGCAUGUCCCCAUGCAGGUGAGCACCAGGCCUCAGAAAGAGAUGAGCCAGAGAAAACCAGGAGAGAGAUGCUCAGAAAAAAAAAAAAAAAAAAGAAAGAAAAAAAAAGAAAAGAAGCAGAGAAAAGUGAGUAGGAUGAACUCUUUACCUCUCUAUCCCAUUAGCACGUUCACCAUGGAUUGCAACCUGCAGAUCUCGAGGCAGGGCAGAGCCUGCAGUAUUAGUGGUGGUUUUGGCUCUGCAGCACUGCCAGGGCUCUCCUCGAAUGCUGGCUGCCCUCAGGGUGUUGGGGAGAGCUCCAGCACAGCCUGCCCCUGGCUCCAAGUGCCUCCCUCGCACUGGGACUCCCCAGCUCUAAUAUUUUUGCUCUUUGUUUUGGGUUCAGUGACCCUCAGGCUCUGUGUUCGUGCCUUUGCUGUUUGACUAAUUGGAGAAGUGUCUAAGCCUCUUCUCCACCGAUGUCACUGUUAUGCAGCGUGUGAUUAAACUGCUGUCAGCUGCUGCUGUUUACAGAUAACAAUGCUGUUUUCUCUCAUUCCUACACUAUCAGGCUCAUUAGGAAUGUCUAUGGAUAAAUUAGUCAGUCUGGGAUUGAAUAAUGUCUGAAAUGUCCUCAGUUCCACUGAGGAACUGCAUCUUCCUGCUCUGGAUAGCCAAAUGUGACAGUGACCUGAACUACUGCACGGGGCUCAGGCCCAGCCCACACCUGGGUGACCGCCAGAUCUGGAGCCUAAUGUGGGCUCUCUUCAAGGAGACUCUUCCAGGGGUGAGCUCCUCACUUCUGGAGGCAGAAGUUCAGUGCAGUGCAGCUCGGAGCUGCUGAGGGAGCACUCAAGCUGUCUGGGAAGCACUCAAGCUGUGGAUGGACCCUGGCACCAGGGCAGGCACUGGCCCUUGCUGUGGCACUCUGGAGCUUCUUGCCUGGCCUUCAACGCUGGGCACUCACCUCAGAACCACAGGACCAGCCUGUCUAAAACACCUUUGACAAUGAGUGAUGGCCACGUGCUACAGAUCUCUUUGUGAAAUAUAACCAGCCUACUGUAAGACCAUUUCUGAUGUGACUGAAAAUGAAAAUCCUGAUGACAGCACUUCAAACAGAACUGCUGCAAAUCUCUAUAAGUUGUUUUAAUGAAACCAGCCAGGAAGAGAAGGAGAGCAAAUCAAAGGAGGGUUAUUUUCACUGUGGUGUCAAAACUAUCUUUCUUACAGCAGGUAAUAGCUCAACUUGGCCAAUUACACAUUUUCUGGCCUAACCCUGCUCUUUGCACAAGUUCUCCUGAUAAUCUGGAGCCUGGCUGACCUGAUGUCUUUGCUUUCCCUUUGCUCUUGUCUCUGCAGGCUCCAGGCAGGAGUGGGGAAGGGCAGCAGCCCCAGAGCUGGAUGUGAGCAGCAGAGGUGACCAGAGAACCUGGUAUUCCUUUUCCUUCACCUGCAGAUACUGGCCCCUUGCUGUGCCCCUCAAGGAUCUGUGCCAUCCUGGGGACAGCAUCCCUCCACCCUGUAGUGAAGAAAUCCAGUAGUACCCAUUAAAGACUGCUCUGUCUCUCUGUUUUCUUCACACCAGCAAUGGCUUUGUCAUCUGCUGCUCCUGAAACAAAAUUCAUGAGAUCAUUUUCCCAAAGCAUGACACUUAAAAUCUGAAUUAAAAUACCUCUGGCCGUUCUGCUACCAAGAUUUUAUAAGUGCUUGGAAUAAUAUUUCAGAUAAAUGGAUAAGCUGUGUGCUUUUAACAUGACAGACCCUUCUUCUAGUAAAACAUAUCUAACAUCAAAUCCUCCAUAUGCUUCCAAAAUCCUCUUCCCUGCUUGGCUCCUCAGUGACAGGAAAGUGUACAUGCCUGUGGAGCUUGGUGGUGAAUGGAGCUGUCCCAGGGGUCUGGAUUGAUUUGCUUUGUGACAUUGAUACCUUCCACUGUCCCAGCAGCAUGACCCAGUGUGGGAAUUCUAAAAGGAAGCUGCUGUGCCUGGAGGCAGGCAAGCAAGAUCCUGUAUAUUACACUGUGAGAGUUGUGUGUCAUAUUAGAGCAAUCGGGCUUUAAAGGGCAUCUUUCAAGCACAAACUAGUUUUUUCCCACACUUGACUGAUCACACAAAUAACUGUGAUUAAAGGUCAAGUGCCUGGGUUUUUCUAUUUUACUCCUUAAAAAUUUAUAUGCAAGAGGAAACCUAGAAGUUAACAUAGCAUGAAAUUGUUAUGUAGUUCUGAGCCUUUAACGACAACUAAAUAUCACUUUUCUUCCUGGGUGGCUUGAGAAAUCUUCAGUAAUAACGGGUCACUUCUUUCGGUUUCCACUUGAGGAAGAAUAUAAAUAAACCCUGUCUUUUGCUUCC